CUGAAUCAAUCCCAUUACCUGAAGCCAAUAAGGCCGCAAAGGAAAAGAAAAGUUGACCGGCUCUCUUUUUCUUGGACCGCUAAUGGUAUAAUCUCUUGGUUAUGAGUCAUCCACAAUCUGGUUGAUAACAGUUUUGUUCUGUAUAAAAGGAAAAGAAUAGCAAAAGUGUACGAGGACGGGGUCCGGUUAGAAAAGAAGGUGCUAUGAGUGGGAUGUGUCGUGGAUUGGAAGGGACGAUCAUUUUACACUGCAUUUUCGAAUGUGUCACAAACAAGUUAUUUUAUUUUUGA
rnacentral:lncRNA from 1 species